AAUCAUAUCGCAAUCGUCCUAACUAUAAAUGGUAUUAUCGUGCGCGUGCUCGCGUAUUGAUUUGCGAUAAAUUUGCAGUUCUUGUCAUAUCUCGUUCGAGUUGCUCGCUUAUGAAUCAUUUCGGGAAAGACUGUUUUGAGAUCGUAGACCCAACCAAGUUUUGCGAAACUGUUGAUCACUGUCCUCGUGAAGUUCACUCUCUAAUUACCCAACUUUGCAGCUUUGUAAUCCCACGGAAUGUGAUACUUGAUGAUAAUUGUGCCAACCCUCACCAAAUGCUGCUAUAUCUGUCGGUUGAAGAAAUAGAAAAGAUUGCAACAGAAAAGAAAAUAUGUACAUACCCCUCAUACGAUUUUAUACCCCAAAUAUGAGCAAGAGAAUCCACUACCUAAGAAAUGUUAAAGGAUGUAGUAUAAUAUAUCUAGUAAACGUGAUAUACCAAGCGAACAUCAGAUGUUCUUCCUAAAAGAGGCAUAGUAUCCACGUGGGAAUGAAACAGAAGAAUGGCAUAAAAAUGAUACAAAAUCUAUAAAAAUUAAAACAAGAAUAUAUAUCAAUGUCCUAGUAAAAAUAAAAAGAUUCGAAGAUAUUUGAUGAUUAAUACCUAUCUUCAUUGCCAAACGA